GUUAGAAACCAGAUGUCAAGGCACGUUUAUUUACUAAAACUUAACUUGAAGAAUUGAAGGGAAAUAUAGCAAGCAAAACUGGGGAGGCCAAUUUCAAAUCAAUUACGAUACCUUGCCCAAGAUGAUUCCGCUCUAGAAGAAAGUAUUUCGCAAUCUGUGGCACAACAGCACCCUCUAGAAGUCCCUCCAUACCCCACACAUAUACCGGCCUCAUAGAAACUCUUGACAAACAAAUCAAAGGUCAGAAAGUUCCCAACACCAGGUACAUGAAUAGGGACUAAGGAAACAUAAUACGACUAACUCCACAGAGGUGUGCUGACAGGAUAGGCCAAAAUGGUCGCACUCUCUCAAAGGGGGAAAUUCACUUAUCCCAGAUACUUAAGUAUCAAAGGCAAUAUAUCAAAUAAGCUCUGUGGGGGCCCUUACCAGAUUAUCGGCCCCGUGGUGACAUUCUUUAUUUAUUUACAGAAAUUUCCUUAAUUCGGGUUGUAUUUAAUAGCACCACUUUCUGUAGUUCUCUGUAUAUAUUAUUAUGAAAAUGUAAAUACGUUAAUUAUUCUCCUAGUUUUUGUACUACUUUUAUUAUUAUUCUGUAGUUAAAGUUGAUUCCUAGGGUUUCUUUAGGGUUCUACUUACGUUUGGUUUAUUAUUUUUAUCUAUAGUGUUUAGUUUUUAAGUAAUUCAUCUUGUUCGAGAGCCCUAUUUUGGCCCCAAUUUAGGUUAUAUUAUUGUAAAUCCCUGUAGUUCUAAUUUUCUAGAAUUUGUAUACUUGCUUGCUUUGACUGUCAGUAUUCUCCUAUAAUAAUUGGUCUCUUUCGGCAAAAACAAUGAAGAUAAUUCUAAAUAUUUCGAAACUGUUCCAUCGGGUUUUAGAAAGGACGCGCUUCGUGACAAUUCAUUCAGUUUUUAAUUGUUUAGUCAGUUUUUACCUUGGAAAUAAUUAAACGACAGUCAAAGCGAGUUAGGUUAGUUUUUUUGACGUUAACAAUAAAAGUGUGUUCCCGAA